rfam:Nostoc punctiforme PCC 73102, complete genome.
GUAUCUGAAGCCAAAGUGUCGAGGCGCUGGUUUGUGGAACCAGUCAAAGCGGGUUCAAGUCCCGUCUGAUACC